UUCUUUGGUGGUCUAGCUGUAUGAGGUUUUUAAGUUCAUAAAGCUAGAUCAGCAAGGCA
rnacentral:pre_miRNA from 1 species